rnacentral:rRNA from 1 species
UACGUAGGGUGCAAGCGUUGUCCGGAAUUAUUGGGCGUAAAGAGCUCGUAGGCGGUCUGUCGCGUCUGCUGUGAAAACUCAGGGCUUAACCCUGAGCUUGCAGUGGGUACGGGCAGACUAGAGUGCGGUAGGGGAGACUGGAAUUCCUGGUGUAGCGGUGAAAUGCGUAGAUAUCAAGAGGAACACCUGCGGCGAAGGCGGGUUGCUGGGCCGACACUGACGCUGAGGCGCGAAAGCUAGGGGAGCGAACGGG